rnacentral:rRNA from 1 species
AAAUUGAAGAGUUUGAUCAUGGCUCAGAUUGAACGCUGGCGGCAGGCCUAACACAUGCAAGUCGAACGGUAACAGGAAGCAGCUUGCUGCUUCGCUGACGAGUGGCGGACGGGUGAGUAAUGUCUGGGAAACUGCCUGAUGGAGGGGGAUAACUACUGGAAACGGUAGCUAAUACCGCAUAACGUCGCAAGACCAAAGAGGGGGACCUUCGGGCCUCUUGCCAUCGGAUGUGCCCAGAUGGGAUUAGCUUGUUGGUGGGGUAACGGCUCACCAAGGCGACGAUCCCUAGCUGGUCUGAGAGGAUGACCAGCCACACUGGAACUGAGACACGGUCCAGACUCCUACGGGAGGCAGCAGUGGGGAAUAUUGCACAAUGGGCGCAAGCCUGAUGCAGCCAUGCCGCGUGUAUGAAGAAGGCCUUCGGGUUGUAAAGUACUUUCAGCGGGGAGG